GACGAACGCUGGCGGCGUGCCUAAUACAUGCAAGUAGAACGCUGAAGGAGGAGCUUGCUUCUCCGGAUGAGUUGCGAACGGGUGAGUAACGCGUAGGUAACCUGCCUGGUAGCGGGGGAUAACUAUUGGAAACGAUAGCUAAUACCGCAUAAGAGUAGAUGUUGCAUGACAUUUGCUUAAAAGGUGCAAUUGCAUCACUACCAGAUGGACCUGCGUUGUAUUGGCUAGUUGGUGGGGUAACGGCUCACCAAGGCGACGAUACAUAGCCGACCUGAGAGGGUGAUCGGCCACACUGGGACUGAGACACGGCCCAGACUCCUACGGGAGGCAGCAGUAGGGAAUCUUCGGCAAUGGACGGAAGUCUGACCGAGCAACGCCGCGUGAGUGAAGAAGGUUUUCGGAUCGUAAAGCUCUGUUGUAAGAGAAGAACGAGUGUGAGAGUGGAAAGUUCACACUGUGACGGUAUCUUACCAGAAAGGGACGGCUAACUACGUGC
rnacentral:rRNA from 1 species